rnacentral:rRNA from 1 species
UGCCCAGCUUGCUGGGCGGAUUAGUGGCGAACGGGUGAGUAAUACGUGAGUAACCUGCCCUUGACUCUGGGAUAAGCCUGGGAAACUGGGUCUAAUACUGGAUACUACCGUCCACCGCAUGGUGGGUGGUGGAAAGGGUUCUACUGGUUUUGGAUGGGCUCACGGCCUAUCAGCUUGUUGGUGGGGUAAUGGCUCACCAAGGCGACGACGGGUAGCCGGCCUGAGAGGGUGACCGGCCACACUGGGACUGAGACACGGCCCAGACUCCUACGGGAGGCAGCAGUGGGGAAUAUUGCACAAUGGGCGGAAGCCUGAUGCAGCGACGCCGCGUGAGGGAUGACGGCCUUCGGGUUGUAAACCUCUUUCAGUAGGGAAGAAGCGAGAGUGACGGUACCUGCAGAAGAAGCGCCGGCUAACUACGUGCCAGCAGCCGCGGUAAUACGUAGGGCGCAAGCGUUGUCCGGAAUUAUUGGGCGUAAAGAGCUCGUAGGCGGUUUGUCGCGUCUGCUGUGAAAGCCCGGGGCUCAACCCCGGGUCUGCAGUGGGUACGGGCAGACUAGAGUGCAGUAGGGGAGACUGGAAUUCCUGGUGUAGCGGUGAAAUGCGCAGAUAUCAGGAGGAACACCGAUGGCGAAGGCAG